ACUAAACAAAAGUUACAAAGUGAACUUGCAGUGCUUCCCUUAAGGGAGAUGUAGUUACAAUUCCAGCACACUGGCCCACUCUCUCUCUCUUGGUGGUGUGAGACUUUCUACAACAGAAUGUCUAAAUGCCAUGAAUGCCCCAUCACUGAACCAGGAGCCAUUAUCAAGAGGACUCUAAGGGAAGCCUCCUUCCAAUGAAUAUUUGGAAUGAUGUUUUCAUUUAUUAGGUUGAAGCAGUUGGUGUGCUUUAGAAAAUGAUUAUAGAGCAUUGGGUCUGGCAGCUCUGUAGAAAAACAUGGAAGCAGCUGAAAGUGUUCCUCCCUCUGCUUGUAUGCUUCUGGAAGCCAUCAGAGGCCAUCCGUCAAACCAACCUGGCCUGUCUUCUGUGCUGUCACACAGGGCUGGAGCAUGUGGGCAGAAUUAAUGUGCCAGAGAUUCAGCUACUGGAAAAGAGAAGAUUAGACUUGUUUUCUGAGAACUUUGUUGAGAAUCUCCCUGGGAUUGGAGAGAUGGCUCAGCAGUUCAAAGCAUUGACUGCUCUUCCAGAGGAUGUGAGUUCAAUCCCUAGCACCCACAUGAGAUUCACAACUGUCUGUGACUCUAGUUCCAAGGGUUUCUAUGCCCUCAUCAUCCUCCAGGCAUUCACAUGGUACAUAAACAUACAUGAAGGAAAACCACCCAUACACAUAAAUAAUAAAAGUGUUCACCUGUCCUCAUCACAAACGGCACACCCUGACAGGUUCUGACUUACCC
ensembl:antisense Rbm46os RNA binding motif protein 46, opposite strand